UGGGUUGUCGUCUAAGGGCAGGAUGAGACUCUUUGAAAGUCAAGAUCUUGGUUCAAAUCCAAGCGACCCAGCCA
rnacentral:tRNA from 1 species